UCUGUCCCAAAAAUAAAAUAAACGUUGAAAAAAAAAUUUUUUUUUUAAAAUAAAGAAACAUUUAAAAAAAAACCAUUCAUGCCUCCAAAUCGGAGCCGUAAUCAAAUUAUGGAGGACACCAAGGUGGCAGUGACUCAGAUCCAGGCCUUGAACAAGUCCAGGCUCCGAACAAGACCUACAAAUGAGUGGUUAGUCGAUCUCUACAAAGACCUGUCUAGAAAAGCUGAAAGGUAGCCCUGAAGUGGGAGAAAGUGAACUAAUUAAGCACAGUAAUAGUCUAGGAAUGUCUUUGCAGGUUUGAGAAUUUACCAAGAUCGGGGGAUGUAAGCUUCAUGGGUGGAAAGGGUCCGCCCUACGUAACUGAGUUUGGUGGGAGUAUGGAUGCAGGAAUCCCUUUCUCUUGUUUUCCUGCAGAAAAGAAAGUAAAUGUGGGAGCGUCUGGGACCGUGAGGGCCCCAUAAUGGGGCAACCUGGGCUAAAAUUCUCCACACUUUCUCCCCGGGCAUAGGCAAAGGGCAGCCUGACCCUUCUCCCUGGCCUGCCGCUUCCCCAAGGCAACCCAGGGACCGGCUCCAACAUCUUCAAGUUUUCAAGUAUAGUCCUUCAACACUCGGUCUCAAUUUCCUCAACUCCCCGGCCUGCUGUGUCCUCUGCUGUCCCAUCUUUGGUGUUUCUAGGGGCAUCAUCAAAAGAGAAGGGGAGCAUCAGAACAGCUUCCACAGGAGGCUGAGAUGGAACCUGCUGGGCAGCGAACGCCCUUGGCAUUGGAGAGCAAAGCCAUCACUGAAAACAAAGACAACCAGUGAGCUAUUUUGUGCACAAACGGUCCCUUUGCCGAUCUCAUCAAGCCAGAAACAAAUAUCCUGGAAUCAUUGGCUAGCGGCCAAGAAGAAGACCUGGGGUCCAAACUUGCUUAACCCCAAAUGCGGUGCUCUUUUCACUGCAUCAUCCUAUCUGCCUCGCUGGAUCCCGGGAAGGCUUGACUGGUAAGACCAGAAGACACAAGGAUGGGCUGGAAGGCGGCCAUGCUGGAAAAAGAGAUCUUUUGGAGAGCACGCUUAGAAGUCAGUAUUGCUUUUAGCAACACAGGGAUCCUGCUAGGGGUCCCACCAGGAAGGAAGAAUCCCUCCUUUUGAGGGCAACCAUGAUGCUGCAGAAGUGAAGGCAUCAGGGAGACUUGGGGCAAGACAUAGGAGCAAGUGUCAUGGCAGCCAUGCCCAGAAUGGGAAGUCAAGGCACAAAGCCAACCCAGUCCACAGGAGGGGGACAUUCUCAUCAGCCAUGCUUAAGAUAGUUCUCCCUCCACUAAUGUGGUUAGUUGUGUAAAAUGUAGAGACAUGGCCCCAGUGACGGUCAAGUGUUUUCAGUGCAUGCUUUCCCAGUCAGACUUUCCCUUCAACUUCUUUUAUUUUGUUAUUAAUCAAGAUGCCCCAGUAUUUGGGGAUUGCUUGCUAAUUCCACUUAAAUUUGUAGUGUAAUUCUGGAUCGGGUAGACAAAGAAGAACCUUCUUCCCGUGCCCCUCACAACAGUAAGUACCUUGAAAACUACUUGAGUGGGGCGCCUGGGUGGUUCAGUCGGUUGAGCGUCUGACUUGGGCUGUGGUCAUGAUCUCCUGGUUCGUGAGUUCGAGCCCCACAUUGGACUCUCUGCUGACAGCACAGAUCCUGCUUUGGAU